AUCAACUUUCGAUGGUAGGAUAGAGGCCUACCAUGGUGGUAACGGGUAACGGGGUGUUAGGGCACGACACCGGAGAGGGAGCCUGAGAAACGGCUACCACAUCCAAGGAUGGCAGCAGGCGCGCAAAUUACCCAAUCCCGACACGGGGAGGUAGUGACAAUAAAUAACAAUACGGGGUUCUUUCGGAUUUCGUAAUUGGAAUGAGUACAAUUUAAAUCUCUUAACGAGGAACAAUUGGAGGGCAAGUCUGGCGCCAGCAGCCGCGGUAAUUCCAGCUCCAAUAGCGUAUAUUAAAGUUGCUGCAGUUAAAAAGCUCGUAGUUGAAUUUCGGGACCGAUAUAUCGGUCGUGCCUCGGUACGUACUGGUAUUUUCGGUUUCUACCUUCUGACGAACCUUGAUGUCAUUAAUUUGGUGUCUUGGGGAAUCAGGACUGUUACUUUGAAAAAAUUAGAGUGUUUAAAGCAGGCUCACGCUUGAAUACAUUAGCAUGGAAUAAUGAAAUAGGACGUUUGAUUCUAUUUUGUUGGUUUCUAGGAUCGACGUAAUGAUUAAUAGGGAUAGUUGGGGGCAUUAGUAUUCAAUUGUCAGAGGUGAAAUUCUUGGAUUUAUUGAAGACUAACUACUGCGAAAGCAUUUGCCAAGGAUGUUUUCAUUAAUCAAGAACGAAAGUUAGGGGAUCGAAGACGAUCAGAUACCGUCGUAGUCUUAACCAUAAACUAUGCCGACUAGGGAUCGGAUGAUGUUAAUUUUUUAAUGACUCAUUCGGCGCCUUACGGGAAACCAAAGUGUUUGGGUUC
rnacentral:rRNA from 1 species